CAGGAAUUACUAAAACUAAAAUUACUAUCUUUGGGAAGCAUAACACCAAAGUCUAGGUAAGAGAAAGGCAUGAUAUAAAGUUGAGCCGUUGUUUAUCUUGUUCCUACUACACCAAGUUCUAGAGAUUUAUUUUUGAAAACUUACAAAUCACAUGAUGAGUUCCUAGCAUAACAAAAUUACCUACCACAGCCAUAUUUGCUAUAACAUCUUUUACUAUAUUUACAUUGAGUUUGAUCGAGCUGUGUCGACCCUUAGGAGCUUUUCAUGUGGUUAAAUUAAGAUAUUCACUUGCACACAUCUACCACAGCAUUCAUCAUCAAUCAUUAAAAUUGCUAAAAAAAUAUUAUCACUCACUGUCCCGAAUGUUGUUAUUCUCUCUCUAAAAAGAUUCAAUGCAGAAGAGGCAUGGGUUAUGCAAAAAUAUACGAGGAAAUAAAAAGGGGCAAGUGCCCGGAACCUCGAAAAAGAAAAGAAAGUGAGACGAGAGGUAAAAAUGGACAAGUGUCCGAAGUAGAAUUAGGGGUACAAAGAUGCCCACUUGAGCGGAAAAAAUGGACAAGUGUCCGAAGUAGAAUUAGGGAUAUCUACUACCCACCUGAAAAAAAAAGAGAGAGAAAAAGAUAGCCCAUGUUCUCCCAAAGCAAAGAUCAAAGAAGAGAAGAGAUAGCAAUAUGAGGAGCAAUGAGAACUAAGUUUUAUUAUCACUUAUGCAUUUUCAUCAUUUACUCCAUGCACAUCUUGAUUUAAUUAUAUGCUGAGUUCCUUUGGAUCCAUGGCUCGAUUAGACAACAUAUGUAUGAGCUGUUUUUCACUCCUAUGAGCUCCACUUAAAUAUUCCAUUAGCUAUAGGUAAGUGACAUUAUGGUAAGGAUCCACAAAUACCACAUAUAGAGAGACUUGAGAGAAUCAUUGCUGGGAACUCUGAGUUUUAUUUUGAAAACCUAUGAAAAAACUCUAGAACAAAGGUGAAGUAUAGAUAGGAGGGAUAGUGCUUGACUUAACUAUUUUGUCUUUCGAUUACUUAAGAUUUAAGUGCAGGUACUAAACUCCAUAACACUUCACUUUAAUCUGGAAGAAUUUUUAUGUAGAAGCAUGUGUGCCUGUCAGGAAAGAAAACAUCGAAGCAACUCCUGAUCCAUCUGAGUUUAGCUGUUUGCUCAGGGGCGAGCAAAGGGUAAGCUUGGGGGAGUUUGUUGACGGUCCUUAAGUACUAAAAUUAAUAAUCAAAUAAACAUGAAAAAGGAUCAAUAUAAAACAAACAUCUAGAAUUAGGGUUUUAUCUGACAGAAUUCCACGAGCUUUGGUGUUUAUCUAUUUCUGCAGGGGUUUAUCAGAAAAUAUGGAGAGAAGGCCCACAUGUCAUGUUUACAACGAGAUAACGUGCCGCGCAAUUUUCCUCAAUCUAGAAGGAUCCAGAAGCCACGGGAACGAACGGGACGCGAUUCGGGCUCGGGGGCUGGGCGGCCGCCCACCCCCCUUGGGCGCCCGCCCUGGCCAGGAAGCCAACCAGGACUCUGCUUCGGGGCAAGACUCCACCGACCUAAAGGAUCAAUAUAAACCAUACAAUCUAUGUUGGUUUGAUCCAAUGGCUCACGUUCACUUGAGGGGACUAUAAAACCAGACACCCUGGCCCCUGGAGGAGAGAGGAGAAAUCAUUAUUCAGAGGUAGCCAUCAAAGUUAGGGUUUAGAUCUCUCUCCCACAGAGAAUUAGAAUUAGCUACUCCCUAAUCCUUCAAGUUUAGAGGUUGAUUAGAUAGCAAUUAGAGAAGUAGAGCACUACGCUCUGGAUUCGGAUCUUCGGUAAUAAAGAUUGGUAUUAUUCAUAUCUUUCUCUAAUUCUAUUGUUCUAAUUGCAUUAUGUCUCUAAUUAUUAUGCUCUUAGUUUGCUCUAGUUCUAUAUUUGAUAUAGUUCUAAUUGAUAAUGAGUUUAUGUAUAAGUUUGCAAAGCGCUUAGCUCUUGACGCGAGGGAGUUAGGUGAUAGAUCACAUGUGAGCGUGGUGCUUAGAUGUUAUUUAUCUGCAAAUGUAUCCUAUUGGCCGGGUCAUGUGGUAGUUCACGAUAGUGACAGCUUCGUUGAUUCUUAUAUAGUCCACCCUCCGUUGAUAGGACAGGCAGAACCGGUAUUGUGGAGUAAGUCAUGCGAUGUUCUGAUUUACUUUAUCAAUGUUCCUUAUACAUGAAUGAAGAGUCUUUUAUGCUAUACAUGAUCUUGUAGAUAACUAGAGUAGAUUAUGACUUAGUAGUUAGUAGAUAACUUAGAAUCCAUUCUCUAGCUAAUCCGACAUCACCUACUUAUAUGAGGAGUAGUCUAUUUUCUAAUCGCUGUGCUAUCUACCCAUGAACUUAUACUUUAUUAUCAUUAUCUUUAUGGUUUACCCCCUGCUAAAGUAUGUGACUCUGUGACGAGUUUCUCAUUAGUAAUCAUGUUCUUGCAAGUUUAUCUCUAGUCUAUGCCUUGAUAGAUUUUGUCCCUUGAUUUAAUUCCAUCUUCUUUAGAUCCCUAGAGCAAAAUUAUAAAUAACGAUACCUGGAAUACUUAUCCUGGUGAAAUGCUACAAUGAGGUGUUUUAUCUGUGCGCUUGCGGAUAGAAUAGAUUAUUUUCUAGAGAGCCUUUACAUUUAUAAAUACCUUUGUACACUCUGGCGCCAUGCUAGGGAUGACAACCUAGUAUCUAAGUGGUGUUAGCUAGUGUCAACAAGCAUUUCUGGCGCCGUUGCCGGGGAACUUAUAGGACUUAUAGGAAUUAUAUGAGUCUCAGGAAUAAGUCAUAUUAAGGAAAGCUAGAAAAUCAAUCAAGGUUAUUCACAUAAAACAUUAGACUAGACUAUAGAGAAAUAAUUGCAUAAAACAGCUACUAAGUGAGAAAUCAUAACAAGGCACCGCUGCUUUGGCAGGUUCACCCUGUUGUUUUUCUAUGUUUAUAUUUUUAUACAGGGUAUAACAGGAUUGACUUUGGGUACAUUCAACUCUCCAUCAUCAGAACCAAAGCAAUCAACAGAAGAAGAAGCUAGCUACCAAUUGCUGAAGCUAUGGCACAGAAGACCUUGCAAGAAUUCUCUGCUCCAAGUCUUGACAACAUUCCAACUGGUCCAAGAUUUGCAGUAGAAGAAGGAAUACCCGAGUUUGAGCUCAAGUCAAGCCUCAUCAAUUUGGUGCAAGCUACACAAUUCAGUGGAAAGGCACAUGAAGAUGCCAGUGCACACUUGCAGAAUUUCCUAGAGAUUGGAAGCACAAUCCACAUCAACGGAGUUGACAAAGACGUCAUACUACUUCACCUUUUUCCAUUCUCACUAGAAGGAAAAGCGAGGAAGUGGUUCUACACUCAUCAAGAUAACAUCAACAACUGGACGAACUUGUCAGAUGCCUUUCUAUCAAAGUUUUUCCCUAUAGGCAAAACAACUGCCUUAAGAGGAAAUAUUGUCAGUUUCCAACAACAGAAGACAGAAGCCAUUUCAGAUGCAUGGGACCAUUUUCAAGGAUACAUAUCAGAUUGUCCUCACCAUGGAAUGGCCACGUGGUUACUUAUGCAGACCUUCUACCAUAGAUUAACCCAGAAGGCUCGUGAGUGCCUAGAUGCAUCUGCUAAAGGAUCAUUCUUGGAGCUUACAACUGGAAAAGCAGAGAUACUUUUGGAUAAGAUAGCAGAAAACCAAAGCUGGUUCCAAGAUAAAGCUCAACAAUGUCAUCAAACUGAAGAAAUACCAGAAGAAGUAAAUGCAUUAUCAACUAAGAUGGAAAAUUUGCUCCAUUGGAUUGACCAGAGGGCCAAGUUCAAAGAAGAUCAAAGGGCCAUUGAGACAACAUACAAAUAUCAACCAACUUCGAGUCAACCCAAUAGCAAAGGUAUGAAUUCAAGUAAAGAAUAUAACUACUAGAGGAGGCAAAGCCACCAGAGAUCCACCAUACCCAAAAGAGAAACAAAGAACAUCAGCACCAGUGCAACCAGCAGUGAUAGAAGAAGAAAGCCCAGUUGAAGCAGAAGAUCUGCUCCAACCACCAAGAACUGGAGAAAUGAGGAAAGAUUUUUACGACACCAACUAUUUGCCAUUUCCCAGAAGAAACAGAGGACUGCAGUCGGAUGAGCAGUUUGGUAAGUUUGUAGAGGUCAUUCAGAAAUUAUAUGUCAACAUACCUCUGCUCGAUGCCAUACAGGUACCUACAUAUGCAAAGUACAUCAGAGAUAUUCUUAACAAGAAGAGACCACUGCCCACCACUGAGGUUAUCAAGCUGACAGAAGAAUGUAGUGCGGCCAUCCUCAAUAAGCCACCAAAGAAGAAGGAAGAUCCCGGAUGCCCCACUAUUGAUUGCUCAAUUGGAAACCAACACUUCAACAAUGCACUUUGUGAUCUCGGAGCAAGUGUCAGUGUGAUGUCAGCAUCAGUCUACAAAAAGCUUGAGCAUGCAACCUUAGAACCAACAUCAAUGUGUCUACAACUAGCGGAUCAAUCGGUUCGACACCCGCUGGGUAUCGCCGAGAACAUUCCAGUCAAGAUUAGAGAUUUCCUGGUGCCAGUAGACUUUGUAGUACUGGACAUGAGUCCUGACUCAAAAGUGUCCAUCAUCCUUGGAAGGCCAUUUCUGAGCACUGCCAAUGCCCACAUUGAUGUCGGGAAAGGAGAAAUCAAGUUCAACAUAAACGGUCAAGAAGAACAUUUCACAUUCAAACCCAGACCAGAGAGAGACUCUACAGUGAAGGAAGUUCAUGAAGAACCACUGGAGACACCAUCUCCGGAGGAAGGUAACUCAGAAGAUUAAAAGAUUUGGAGGUCCAGCUUGGGGGACCUAAAAAUCCCAAACCCUCACCGGGAGGUAAAUCGGUAUUUAUCCGCAUUAUUAAUUUUCUCAUAUUUAAAUUCUUGCAUAAUUAAUUCUUGCAUUAGUCAUAGCAUAAUUAUAAUAAUAAAAAAGCCCCAUAUAAAUAAUAUUCAUGGUGUGUAACAACCCAUAUUUAUUAAUUAUUACGGAGGCACAAAAAUAUUUUCCAUUAUCAUUAUCAUUAAGUUUUAAUUCUCAUAGAUUUUUCCUACAUUAUAUUUAAUCAUAUUAACCUUCUAGAAGCAUGACCCACACUCUUUGGGUCCCACAUGUCAUACACUUCACCUCACAUACAUCCCAUCACAUAAUUUCAUCCACCAAUAUGUUUCCACUCACUUGACAUCUUUCCACCGUCCAACCACCACCAACACAAUAUUAUUGUGCGUGAGAUCAAAGCAAGGAAGCAUGUGGAGGAGGCACACCCAGGAUGGACACCAGGGGUGGGCGCCCGCCCACCUACCUUGGGCGCCCGCCCUGUCCCCUGCUCAGCCUAUAAAAAGCCACCUCCAGCUUCCCUUCUCUCCACACAAGCACUCCAGAAAACCACACAAGUAUCAGUUUCCCGAGAAGGAGCUUUUGUAGUGAAGAGAAGAGAGUAGAGAGAAAGAGGAGAGUGGAAGAAAAGGUUGGGAGUUCUUUUGAGAGAGUGAUUGUCACCUAGCAAAUAGUGUCCAAGCAGAAGUAAAAGUUGUUCAGGGGGAGGCUCUACCAAAAUAGAAACUUGUCUUGAACGAUUAACCCCUGGACUACUGACAUUCCGGACAGCUGACCACUAACAUUUUCUCUCACAUUUUCCACCAGUUGUGUUUUUGCCAAUUUUUGUUUGCAGGAUGUUUAAGAAGGUGCAGAAUGCAGGGAAGGCUCUCAAGAACAUUGGAACAAGGAGUUCAUCCCGACACUCCUCACAGCCAUCAGAGAUGAGCGUCGAUCCGACACCCACACAAGCCCCAUCAUCUUCAUCAGGUCAGCAAGUUAAGGUCCUUCUCAAGAUAGGAGACCUAGGACUGAAGACCCGAAGAGAGAAGGAAGUCUAUCAGCAAUUGAAGAACAAAGAUUUCAUUCACACCCCUACUAUCGAUCCAAUCCUACUACGAGAAACAGGUAUGGACACUGAAUUUGACUUAAUUUUUUAGAUGAUGGGUUGGACAAAUUUUUGGAAUAUAACUGAGCUGGGUUCUCGUCUUCUCACCCUCGAAUUUCUUUGCACCUUACAAUACUAUGAGAGGGGAAUUGUUUUUCGGAUGUUUAAACAGGAAAUUAUGUUAUCUUGGAGAGAGCUGAGCGACCAUCUUGGUUUCUCUUCAAGAUGCAUCCUCAACAUUGACUCCGAUUUACCCAAUUUUGAGAGACACCAGUUUUGGAGAGAAAUAUCUAGAGAUAAAUUUUAUAGUCAAGCCCGAACCAGUGACAUGGAACACCCCACUCUUAGGAUGUUUCACAAAUGGCUUGGGUACAAUCUUUUCUAUCGUGACGAUAUUAGGAAAGUAAGAGUAGGAGAUUUACAACUUUUAUAUGCUGCUAUUAGUAAAGUACCUACUUCACCUGUUACAUUAUUAGUUUCACAUUGGCUUAGUAUACCUAGUCUUCAGGGACCAGUAGGAUGUACUUCACUUAUCACUCGUCUAGCCACUAAUCUUCACUUACUAGAAAAUUCAUCGUUGGACUUCAUAGAAGAAUUAAGAAUUUAUCAUGGCUACGACACAUUUAGACAAGCUCGGAUGUUAAAGAAAGAGGGGAAUAUAAUGUAUAUGCUGUAUGAUGAUAAAGGUAAGAUUCGGUUACCUAACCCGAACCUUGGCCUCUAUGCUGUGCAAAACUUUUUGAUUGAGAUUGCAGCAACACCAGUGAACCAGAGAACUCCACAGCGAGUGGCAUCUGAAAGGAUAACCACUCACCGAGAACGCACUUGGUAUGGAGCUGACCCUGGACCAGAAGAAGCAGCACACCUGCAUUAUUGCGAUUACAACCCUCGAGUCCUUCGAGACCCAUGGGCUCGUCAUGCGCAACCACAAGAGCCGACAGAGGAGACAUGGCCGGAGAGCCAAGAUCACCAGUGGACAAACCCGCCUUUUCAUACGGGCAGGUACUCCACUGAUCCAUAUGGAGCUUCAGGAUCCAGACCUCCACCCCAAUUUGAUGCAGGACGAUACUCCGACGCCUCCUACGCCUUCGCGAAUGACUACUAUCAAGAGGCCGGUGCUUUCUUCACUCGCACCGACAACACCCUCCUCGACAUCCAGAACACGCAAGCAGAACAUGGAAGACUCCUGGAAGAGCAACAAAAAUGGAACCAGGACCAUGCUGCUGCAGUGCAAGAACUAAGACAAGAUACAACAACAAUGAACGACAACAUCACAACUAUGAUGCGGUUCUGGAACAUUGGGUAAGACCGACGUCAACGUCCAGCUUGGGGGAGUUCCUCCCAAAUUUAUCAAGUAAGUUUUUUAUUCUAUUCUUAGUAUUUAAUUUAUCUUAAAAGGAAAAGCUUAGAAAACCAAAUAAAUAUUUUCUUGCUUUAAUUUACUGCACUUUAUAAACAUGAAAACAAAAUAAAAAGAGUGUGUAGAUAAGUGUGUUUUAUUUUUCUGCUAAGUUUAAUCUCUAGAAAAAAAUAAAAAGACCAAAAAUAUACAUGAUGGAAAUGAUGAAUAGUUGCUCUGUUUGCUCACUUACAAGUACCUAGCUUUUAUAUUAGAAUUCUUCCAGGAAUUACUAAAACUAAAAUUACUAUCUUUGGGAAGCAUAACACCAAAGUCUAGGUAAGAGAAAGGCAUGAUAUAAAGUUGAGCCGUUGUUUAUCUUGUUCCUACUACACCAAGUUCUAGAGAUUUAUUUUUGAAAACUUACAAAUCACAUGAUGAGUUCCUAGCAUAACAAAAUUACCUACCACAGCCAUAUUUGCUAUAACAUCUUUUACUAUAUUUACAUUGAGUUUGAUCGAGCUGUGUCGACCCUUAGGAGCUUUUCAUGUGGUUAAAUUAAGAUAUUCACUUGCACACAUCUACCACAGCAUUCAUCAUCAAUCAUUAAAAUUGCUAAAAAAAUAUUAUCACUCACUGUCCCGAAUGUUGUUAUUCUCUCUCUAAAAAGAUUCAAUGCAGAAGAGGCAUGGGUUAUGCAAAAAUAUACGAGGAAAUAAAAAGGGGCAAGUGCCCGGAACCUCGAAAAAGAAAAGAAAGUGAGACGAGAGGUAAAAAUGGACAAGUGUCCGAAGUAGAAUUAGGGGUACAAAGAUGCCCACUUGAGCGGAAAAAAUGGAC
rnacentral:lncRNA from 1 species